rnacentral:lncRNA from 1 species
GAAGAGCUUUAGCACGGCUGCUAGCAGUCAUCAAUUGUUGAUAAAGUAUCCCUUUAUUACAUACAGGAGAUAUCAUCUAAGAAGUCAAAGACAAGACAGGAGAAGGUUUCCAUCCCACAGAACACUGGACAUGGGGGCUUAGAAGACACAGAUAGUCCUUAGGACAAACCUAGAUGCAACACAUGACUAGAAAACUGGGGUCUAGUCAGUGCAAGCUCUAAAUGACCAGCAAUCCUACAGCUCCUCAAUGACCCCGAAUAGAAAGGUGGUUUCACCAACAUUCCCUUUGGUCCCCAGAUGCAUGGACUGGGAUUUGACAGAGAAAGUAUGUUUCCAUGGAAGAAAGAAGAGGGAAGAAAGUCAACAUUAUAAAAGAACAAAAGAAGCUCCAGUAGCAGGACAGGAUCUUUGCCAGCACAUUUAAGAAUCUACGUUGUGCCAAGGCCAGACAGAAAGGGACUGGGUAGUGAAUAGAAUGAUGGGAAGAAGAAGCAGGAGUCACAUGAUGCCUUCUUCAUGAAUGGCAAGAUGUCAGAAAAUCUGAAUUCUGAUUUUUUGCUUCACUUAGUAAGACAGUUAGGUCCAAAAGGUUAUCUAACUACAGAGGAGUCCAACCUGGGCAGAGCACCCCAGCACAGUGCUGGUAGGCAACACUGCCAUGCUGGGUUGAUGAUUCCUUGUGGUCAAAAGGCAACAUGGCAAGUAGCAGGUAGAAUCUCAAUGUGAUAGUACCAAUGAAGGAAGCAAGAAGGCUCUGGAUUACCAACUCUAGAAUACCACCAUGACCUGCUUUGGACAGGGUUUGCUAUGAGGUCAGGCAGGGAGGCACUUGUCAUUAGGAAGACAAUCGGCAAUGAGGAUUGGAGGACCUAGCCUCAUAGCUGGUGCUAAAAGACUUGUCCUCUUCACCACCAGUGAGCUUGAGAAUUUGCACUGCUGUCCUGAGUGGCAGCAGAGACUAAAGGGGAAUUGACCAGAGGGAAGAUGGAAUGUUAAAAUGCUGUGCUAAUUUCUAAGGAUACCUUAACAAAGUGUCAUAAACCCAGUAGCUUAAAAAUGAACAAUUUGUUCUCCUGCAUAACUCCACUAUCAAGGUGUCAGGGUCACUCUCCACAGAGUCUGGGGGCAAGUCUACUUCAAAUAUGCUCCCUGGUUUCUGGAGAUGAUGGCAAUU